rnacentral:rRNA from 1 species
AACGAACGCUGGCGGCAGGCCUAACACAUGCAAGUCGAACGCCGUAGCAAUACGGAGUGGCAGACGGGUGAGUAACGCGUGGGAACCUUCCCAAUGGUACGGAAUAGCUCAGGGAAACUUGGGGUAAUACCGUAUACGCCCGAAAGGGGACAGAUUUAUCGCCAUUGGAUGGGCCCGCGUAGGAUUAGCUAGUUGGUGAGGUAAUGGCUCACCAAGGCGACGAUCCUUAGCUGGUCUGAGAGGACGACCAGCCACACUGGGACUGAGACACGGCCCAGACUCCUACGGGAGGCAGCAGUGGGGAAUAUUGGACAAUGGGCGAAAGCCUGAUCCAGCCAUGCCGCGUGAGUGAUGAAGGCCUUAGGGUUGUAAUGCUCUUUUGGCGGGGAAGAUAAUGACGGUACCCGCAGAAUAAGCCCCGGCUAACUUCGUGCCAGCAGCCGCAGUAAUAC